UACGAAGGGGGCUAGCGUUGUUCGGAAUCACUGGGCGUAAAGGGUGUGUAGGCGGUCCUCUAAGUUUGGUGUGAAAUCUCCCGGCUCAACCGGGAGGGUGCGCCGAAAACUGGAGGGCUAGAGUGCGGGAAGGGAGAGUGGAAUUCCUGGUGUAGCGGUGAAAUGCGCAGAUAUCAGGAGGAACACCGAUGGCGAAGGCAGGUCUCUGGGCCACUACUGACGCUGAGAAGCGAAAGCAUGGGGAGCGAACAGG
rnacentral:rRNA from 1 species